GGCAACCGCAAACCGGGUAUUAUUGGGCGUAAGCGCGCGCAGGUGGUUUCUUAAGUCUGAUGUGAAAGCCCACGGCUCAACCGAGGAGGGUCAUUGGAAACUGGGAGACUUGAGUCUUUUAAGAAAAAAGGAAUUUUUGCGUGUAGCGGUGAAAUGCGUAGAGAUAUGGAGGAACACCAGUGGCGAAGGCGACUUUCUGGUCUGUAACUGACACUGAGGCGCGAAAGCGUGGGGAGCAAACAGGAUUAGAUACCCUGGUAGUCGACGCCGUAAACGAUGAGUGCUAAGUGUUUGAGGGUUUCCGCCCUUUAGUGCUGAAGUUAACGCAUUAAGCACUCCGCCUGGGGAGUACGGCCGCAAGGCUGAAACUCAAAGGAAUUGACGGGGGCCCGCACAAGCGGUGGAGCAUGUGGU
rnacentral:rRNA from 1 species